CGGCGGACGGGUGAGUAAUGCCUAGGAAUCUGCCUGGUAGUGGGGGACAACGUUUCGAAAGGAACGCUAAUACCGCAUACGUCCUACGGGAGAAAGCAGGGGACCUUCGGGCCUUGCGCUAUCAGAUGAGCCUAGGUCGGAUUAGCUAGUUGGUGAGGUAAUGGCUCACCAAGGCGACGAUCCGUAACUGGUCUGAGAGGAUGAUCAGUCACACUGGAACUGAGACACGGUCCAGACUCCUCGGGAGGCAGCAGGA
rnacentral:rRNA from 1 species